UGCUAGCCUAGAAUCCACACUCUUGGCUUG
rnacentral:piRNA from 1 species